rnacentral:rRNA from 1 species
UAGGGAAUCUUCCACAAUGGACGAAAGUCUGAUGGAGCAACGCCGCGUGAGUGAAGAAGGUUUUCGGAUCGUAAAGCUCUGUUGUUGAAGAAGAACACUAGUGAGAGUAACUGUUCAUUAGUUGACGGUAUUCAACCAGAAAGCCACGGCUAACUACGUGCCAGCAGCCGCGGUAAUACGUAGGUGGCGAGCGUUAUCCGGAUUUAUUGGGCGUAAAGCGAGCGCAGGCGGUUUCUUAAGUCUGAUGUGAAAGCCCCCGGCUCAACCGGGGAAGUGCAUCGGAAACUGGGAAACUUGAGUGCAGAAGAGGACAGUGGAACUCCAUGUGUAGCGGUGAAAUGCGUAGAUAUAUGGAAGAACACCAGUGGCGAAGGCGGCUGUCUGGUCUGUAACUGACGCUGAGGCUCGAAAGCAUGGGUAGCGAACAGG